rnacentral:rRNA from 1 species
UACGUAGGGUGCAAGCGUUUAAUCGGAAUUACUGGGCGUAAAGCGUGCGCAGGCGGCUUUGCAAGACAGAUGUGAAAAUCCCCCGGGCUCAACCUGGGAACUGCAUUUGUGACUGCAUGGCUGGAGUGCGGCAGAGGGGGGAUGGAAUUCCGCGUGUAGCAGUGAAAUGCGUAGAGAUGUGGAGGAACACCGAUGGCGAAGGCAGCCCCCCUGGGCUAACACUGACGCUCAUGCACGAAAGGCGUAGG